UGUUAUGGAUGAGAAAGAAAGUGGUUUCUUCAGAUGGAAUCUACUUCUGGUAAAAGUGCUGUGAA
rnacentral:pre_miRNA from 1 species